UUUGAGUUUGCUGCAGCAGUUGAUGCGGUCAACGGAGGUCACAAACUAUACGAUGUUGAGGAUGCAGUAACUCGGCGUAGAAGCUGCUCACAAGCCAGAGAUACAACAACAACGGUUCUGUUAUUGGGCUUUGAUUACAUCUACAAAUGCUCAAUUUUUUUGCUUACUUUUAUUUGAGAUAUUGAUGAUGGUAAAGUCUGGAACAUAAGGUUGCUCUGAUGAUUAUAUAUUCCAUGAUCUUGGUUAAGGAAUUAUAGGUUGUUUAUGAUUUUUCCUGGAACACGGUCUUGUUGUUGCGUGAAUUCUGGAGGCAUGAAUAUGUGAAUCAUGAGCCAAGUGUGGGGAUUGGGUGUGUUGUAUCACGAGUAACAUGUUUGUUGUUGCCUUUUCAUUUCGCCUUUCAUAGAAAUAUUUGGAAAUGCUUGGAAUUUGUUUGGAAUAGUUGAAAUGUAUGUAACGUUUCUUGCCGUAAUUUUUACAGUAAGUUGAUUUUAGUGGCAAUGUAGUAUAACCAUGCAUAAAUACAUUAAACUGUAAUUUUCUCUUUGAACUUAA